rnacentral:rRNA from 1 species
CGUGUAGGUGGUUAGAUAAGUCAGAUGUGAAAGCUUCCGGCUUAACCGGAAAACUGCAUUUGAAACUGUUUAGCUUGAGUGCGAGAGAGGGUAGCGGAGUUCCCAGUGUAGCGGUGAAAUGCGUAGAUAUUGGGAAGAACACCAGUAGCGAAGGCGGCUACCUGGCUCGCAACUGACGCUAAUGCGCGAAAGCGUGGGGAGCAAACA